rnacentral:rRNA from 1 species
UACGGGGGGGGCAAGCGUUGUUCGGAAUUACUGGGCGUAAAGGGCUCGUAGGCGGCCAACUAAGUCGGAUGUGAAAUCCCCAGGCUUAACCUGGGAACUGCAUCCGAUACUGGAUGGCUUGAAUCCGGGAGAGGGAUGCAGAAUUCCAGGUGUAGCGGUGAAAUGCGUAGAUAUCUGGAGGAACACCGGUGGCGAAGGCGGCUUUCUGGACAAAUACCGACGCUGAGGCACGAAAGCUAGGGGAGCAAACAGG